rnacentral:SRP_RNA from 1 species
GCCGGGUGCGGGGGUGGGUGCCUAUAGUCCCAGCUGCUCAGGAGGCUGAGGUGGGAGGAUCGCUUGAGCCCAGGAGUUCUGGGUUGCAGUGCGGUGUGCCGAUUGGGUGUCUGCACUACGUUCGGCGUCAAUGUGGUGACCUCCUGGGAGCGGGAGACCACCAGGUUGCCUAAGGAGGGAUGAACCGGCCCAGGCCGGAAACGAAGCAGGUCCAAACUCCGGUGCUGAUCAGUAGUGGGAUCGCGCCUGUGAAUAGCCACUGCACGCCAGCCUAAGCAACAUAGCGAGACCCCGUCUCU